rnacentral:rRNA from 1 species
UACGUAGGUGGCGAGCGUUGUCCGGAUUUACUGGGCGUAAAGAGCGCGCAGGCGGUCGUACAAGUCGCGUGUGAAAGCCCCCGGCUCAACUGGGGAGGGUCACGCGAUACUGUUCGACUCGAAGGCAGGAGAGGGAAGUGGAAUUCCCGGUGUAGUGGUGAAAUGCGUAGAUAUCGGGAGGAACACCAGUGGCGAAGGCGACUUCCUGGCCUGUUCUUGACGCUGAGGCGCGAAAGCUAGGGGAGCAAACGGG